UACGUAGGGUGCAAGCGUUAAUCGGAAUUACUGGGCGUAAAGCGUGCGCAGGCGGCUUUGCAAGACAGAUGUGAAAUCCCCGGGCUUAACCUGGGAACUGCAUUUGUGACUGCAUGGCUGGAGUGCGGCAGAGGGGGAUGGAAUUCCGCGUGUAGCAGUGAAAUGCGUAGAUAUCUGGAGGAACACCGGUGGCGAAGGCGGCAUCCUGGACCGGCAUUGACGCUGAGGCGCGAAAGCCAGGGGAGCAAACGGG
rnacentral:rRNA from 1 species